AUCAAUACGUGCUUGAAAUGAAAGGGGAUGCCGGCUGCCCCCCGGGCUACGGAUCCCCGCCGCCAGCCUGUUCUGAUCGCCCGCAGCGCCCUCCGCGCCUCUCCACAAGAGAGACCUUCCAUUCCGUGCUCAGGACGAAGCAUCGGAGAACAGAUCAAACCUCCGGAAUAGACAAUUCGGAAGCAAGAUCUGGACCGGCAAGAGAAUUGAGAAGAGCCAACAAAUCAAUAAUGUUUGAAGCAGUUAAACAGCACAGCCACGGGAACCAUUUGCAUUUCCCACCAGCUGCUCACUUCGGCUGCACUGGCGCUGCGCGAGGCGGGGACCCUAAAGCUCUGAGCGCUGGCGCAGUGGCUGGGCUGGGCUGAACCAGGCCCCGGCAGGCGGGUGGACGAGGCUGCAGACGGAAGGGGGGCAGGGAACAUGAGUUUCCCCAGCCUCCGAAGCCCAGCCCAGGCUGCAAAUCUGACUGCUGCAAAGGCAGAGGGAGAGACCUGUGCGCCUCUGCAAAAGCAGAGCCUGUCCCCUUC